AGCGAACGCUGGCGGCGUGCCUAACACAUGCAAGUCGAACGUGAAAAGGGAAACCUGAGUAAAGUGGCGUACGGGUGAGUAACGCGUAGGUAAUCUACCCCAGAAUCUGGAAUAACCUGCCGAAAGGCGGGCUAAUACUGGAUAGAGCGAGGGAACUCGUAAGAGAGUUUUUCGGGAAAGGGAGCCCGCAAGGGCCUUCGUUCUGGGAUGAGCCUGCGUCUCAUUAGCUAGUUGGUAAGGUAACGGCUUACCAAGGCGAUGAUGAGUAGCUGGUCUGAGAGGAUGAUCAGCCACACUGGAACUGAAACACGGUCCAGACUCCUACGGGAGGCAGCAGUGAGGAAUCUUGCGCAAUGGACGAAAGUCUGACGCAGCCACGCCGCGUGAGUGAAGAAGGCCUUCGGGUUGUAAAGCUCUGUCGGAUGGGACGAACAUCUUCAUAGUGAAUAGCUAUGAGGACUGACGGUACCAUCAAAGGAAGCACCGGCUAACUCCGUG
rnacentral:rRNA from 1 species